rnacentral:rRNA from 1 species
CCAAUAGCGUAUAUUAAAGUUGUUGCAGUUAAAAAGCUCGUAGUUGAAUUUCGGGAUUAGUAAGUUGGUCGUGCCUCUGGUAUGUACUGGCUUUACUGGUUCCUCCUUCUUGAAGAACUGUAAUGUCAUUAAUUUGGUGUUGCAGGGAAACAGGACUGUUACUUUGAAAAAAUUAGAGUGUUUAAAGCAGGCUAACGCUUGGAUACAUUAGCAUGGAAUAAUGAAAUAGGACGUUUGAUCCUAUUUUGUUGGUUUCUAGGAUUGACGUAAUGAUUAAUAGGGAUAGUUGGGGGCAUUAGUAUUCAAUUGUCAGAGGUGAAAUUCUUGGAUUUAUUGAAGACUAACUACUGCGAAAGCAUUUGCCAAGGAUGUUUUCAUUAAUCAAGAACGAAAGUUAGGGGAUCGAAGACGAUCAGAUACCGUCGUAGUCUUAACCAUAAACUAUGCCGACUAGGGAUCGGAUGAUGUUAAUUUUUUAAUGACUCAUUCGGCGCCUUACG